rnacentral:rRNA from 1 species
AGAGGGUGCAAGCGUUAAUCGGAAUUACUGGGGCGUAAAGCGUGCGUAGGUGGUUAGGUCAGUCGAAUGUGAAAGCCCUGGGGCUCAACCUGGGGAAUUGCAUCCGAUACUGCCUGGCUAGAGUAGUGGAGAGGGAAGUGGAAUUUCCGGUGUAGCGGUGAAAUGCGUAGAUAUCGGAAGGAACACCAGUGGCGAAGGCGACUUCCUGGAAACAUACUGACACUGAGGCACGAAAGCGUGGGGAGCAAACAGGAUUAGAUACCCUGGUAGUCCACGCCGUAAACGAUGAGAACUAGAUGUUGGGGAGCUUGACUUCUCAGUAUCGCAGCUAACGCAUUAAGUUCUCCGCCUGGGGAGUACGGUCGCAAGAUUA